GGGGUUGUAGCUCAGUGGAAGAGCACUUGCCUGGCAUGUAUGAGGCAAUGGGUUUGAUUCUCAGCACCA
rnacentral:tRNA from 1 species